rnacentral:tRNA from 1 species
GUCCGGUUCGUCUAUUGGUAGGACCGCUGUUUUUCAAGCAGCAGAGGCGGGUUCGAUUCCCGCACCGGGUA